GAGCUUUUUGCACUAUCAUUAACUAAUUGCUGUAUAUGCUACCUAGGUGUGUGAUCAGGUCAAUAUAAUGUGCUACUUGAAUUCGACUAAAAAACUCAAGGAUUCAAACACAACUUGCAUCAUUAAAAUGUCGUGUCAAGUUUUUAAUCAGUUUUAGAUUAAAGCUUAAAUAAACUCCAGUAAGCUGGGCUUUGAACUUGAAUUGGAGUCUUAAUUUUACAUAUUUAGGAUAAAAUAAUAACCAUCCUA
rnacentral:misc_RNA from 1 species